UUACCUGAUGGUUCUGGCGACUUGCUAGAAGGUGGUGGUGCCGUGGGUGUUAGCCUGAGGGAGAAUUCCAAGAGAGAGAGAGAGAGGGGGGAGAAGAGAGAGAAAGAGCCGUUAAUGAUCGUCCCUAAGGCUCCCUUAAAAGGUGAUACAAUUAUUAGCAGCUUAGUUUUACCUUUAAAAAUCAACACAGUACUUUGGAUGCAAAAUCCAUCAUCUGAUGAUUACAAGGUAACAUUCAACACCAACACCAGUUACCAUUUCUUGAGAGCAAAAGUGUGACAGAACCUUCAUUUCUGAAUUUGUGGGUCCUGCACAUAGAUAUGCUAUUCAUUUGCACACGUUAAACAUUUAAUUGAAUGAAAAAAAGGAACCAGCUUCUAGUCCCAUAAUGACUGACAUGACCACCAGAAAGAUUUGACCUGUCUGGGCAUGCGAACGACAAUAUAAGGGUUUCAACUUCAUAUCAAAUGAGAAGCUUAAGAGGUUUUGAAACUCCUUUCUAGGAGCUCUUUCGGAAGCCAGUUGACAUUUGUACCUUCUCCUAGGACUCACCAAGAAACCAAUUCAAGCAGUUCUACUUCCAUAUGCUGGGCAAUUUUCUCUGUUUGGUAUCUGGGGGAUCAAUGAGUUGAGGUUUUAGAGCUGCGCCUUCCAUGAAUACUUG
rnacentral:lncRNA from 1 species